AGCCAAAGCCCAAUUAAAGAAAAAAAUUUAAAGCUUUAAAACCAACUACUCUCUGACCUCUUUACAAUACAUUUUUAAGUGCCUUCAUUUGGUUAUAUUUUACUGUAUAUUGUUCACAUUUUAAAAACCCAAACAAAAAUGCAUUUAAUGCCAAUCUCUAAUUAUCUUCUAUUUAUCUUUUAAUUAAGAUAUAGAAAAUUGCUGCUUUUCUUCUCUGGGGACUAACUUAAUUUGCAACCUUAGAAAGUCUGUCAAUUAUUUCCAGUUUAAUCUAUUCAGUUUUGUCUGUGAUUGUUUUAAAUAUUUGUGUGAUAUUAAAACGCCCAGGGGGAACUCUGAAGAGUUAUGGUCACCGAGAAAACAACAACAUUUCUCCUUUUAUGUUUCUGUGUGCUUGAUUAAAUAAGAAUUACAGGAUGCAGCUCAUAUGCACAUUCAUAACCCAGCAAGACAGACACCUGUUGGGUAAGGUUUGGAACAAUAUGCAAAAUUAACAUGAAAAAUCCGAUAGAGGCUCUGGUGCAGACAUGUCACGGAAGCUUCUUUUAUUAUAACACGUCAUCACAAAUUUAAGAUGGAAUUUGCUUCAGGCUUUUACUAAAGGAAGAAGUAAAUACCAUUCUUCUUAGCUAUUUGGUUGAAACUGGAAACCAAUGUGUCAUUGUUUCCUGUCAGACAAUGCUUUACACAUUUCAAUAUCACCAUACAGACUGUAAAAACACUGGACCAUGUUCUCUUCUCCACUAACACAAUGGUUUUCAAUCUUUUUUCAUUUGCAGACCCCUACAAAAUUUCAAAUAGAGAUGUGAAC